UACCGCGGUUAUACGAGAGGCCCGAGUUGACAGGCUCCGGCGUAAAGCGUGGUUAAGGAAUGAUAAACACUAAAGCUAAACGCUUACUCGGCUGUUAUACGCUCCCGAAAGUAAGAAAAUCGUCUACGAAAGUGGCUUUACUUUACCUGAACCCACGAAAGCCAAGGCA
rnacentral:rRNA from 1 species